rnacentral:tRNA from 1 species
UGUUCAGUGGUUUUAUGGGUUAAAGCGCCGGUCUUGCGAAUACGGAGUCGUAGGUUCGAAUCUCACCAGAACGA